rnacentral:tRNA from 1 species
GGAGAGGUGCCUGAGUGGUUGAAAGGGCUCGCCUGGAAAGCGAGUAUGCGGGCGACCGUAUCGGGGGUUCGAAUCCCCCUCUCUCCGCCA